rnacentral:rRNA from 1 species
CUAAUCUGCCCUACACUAGAGGACAACAGUUGGAAACGACUGCUAAUACUCUAUACUCCUGUCUGACAUAAGUUAGAUAGGGAAAGUUUUUCGGUGUAGGAUGAGGCUAUAUUGUAUCAGCUAGUUGGUGAGGUAAUGGCUCACCAAGGCUAUGACGCAUAACUGGUCUGAGAGGAUGAUCAGUCACACUGGAACUGAGACACGGUCCAG